GAGAAGCUUCGACUAAGGUUCGAUUCGAGCGCAGCGAGAAAGCGUUGCCGUAGGCAACGACCCGAAGGGCGAAGCGCGCAGCGCUGAGUAAUCCUUCCCCCGUCAUCC
rnacentral:sRNA from 1 species